rnacentral:tmRNA from 3 species
GGGGAUGUAUUGUUUUGAUGGAAGUUCUUAAAUUCAAAAUCAGCAGGAUGAGAUUGGCUGUUGCUCAUAAACUAAUAGCCAAGCACUCUAAGUGCAGACAAAAUUUCAAGCAAGGUCAAAUCCGCUUUCAGCGGUUUGGCUUUCGCUCCUGCCGUUGCUUAAUACCAAUGGCCAUCGCCUUACUUGUUUUCCAGGUAAGUAUUAAGCGGUGUUAUAUUUCUGGAAUCGAUGGGUUGGUCUAUUCGAGCCGACCCAUUUAAAUCAUUUCGAAUAAAGCUGAAAUCAUUUUGUUCUUUUAAAAGGUUUCGGCUAAAGCUAAAAGAACUAAUUCUGUACACUGAUUUUCAAUUUGCUUCCAGACAGGAGCUCAUUACUCCUCAUCUCCACCA